rnacentral:rRNA from 1 species
UACGUAGGGGGCAAGCGUUGUCCGGAAUCAUUGGGCGUAAAGAGCGCGUAGGCGGCCCAGUAAGUCCGCUCUGAAAGUCAGAGGCUCAACCUCUGAAUGCGGGUGGAUACUGCUGGGCUAGAGUCCGGAAGAGGCGAGUGGAAUUCCUGGUGUAGCGGUGAAAUGCGCAGAUAUCAGGAGGAACACCGAUGGCGAAGGCAGCUCGCUGGGACGGUACUGACGCUGAGGCGCGAAAGCGUGGGAGCAAACAGG